rnacentral:lncRNA from 1 species
GAGUGAAUAUAGCAAAUGAAAGGGUCGAAACAAUUAUAGAUGAAAUUAAUUCGAUGAGGGAGAGAAAGAGAAGAAAACAGAGAGGGGGGAGAAGGCCCAAGGCUCUCCGGCCACAGCGACAUCGAUGACGACGGCGGAUUGAAGCUCGGAUUUCCGAUGGCAGCGCCCGAUACUUGGAUGGUGGUCGAUCAUCCGAAAAGACUGGUCGUUGGGCUGAUCUGGUGGUGGUUAAAGAUCAGGUGAUGGAUUAACCGAGGGUUGAAUGGCACCAUCAUCCUCUUAAAUCGAUCAAGCUUGCAACCUGGCCAUAAUGCUGAAUCUUCCAACAUCUGACAUGAUAGAAUCAUGCUCCAUAGCUGGUCCUGGCUUUAUAAACGUGAAGUUAUCAACACAAUGGAUAGCCAAGAGAAUCCAGAAUAUGCUAACAGAUGGCAUUGACACAUGGGCACCAAGGCUCUCUGUCAAAAGGGCGAUAGUUGACUUUUCAUCACCCAACAUUGCAAAGGAAAUGCAUGUAGGUCAUUUGAGGUCAACUAUCAUUGGAGACACGAUAGCCCGUAUGCUUGAGUAUUCUAAAGUUGAUGUGCUUCGCAGAAACCAUGUUGGGGAUUGGGGCACUCAGUUUGGAAUGUUGAUUGAGUUUCUCUUUGAGAAGUUCCAGAUGGGGAGGUUACUGAUCAGGAUAUUGGAGAACUAGAGGUACCCAUGUCAAGCUCCCUGGUCCUUUCUUGAAAGAACCAAAUACGAAUUUCACACCUCUUACAAUAAGAUGAUACGGUUCGUAUGAACUAGGAGGCGUUUACAAUAAGACGAUACGGCUUUGUGAGGCUUCAAAGAGUAUUAACAAGUAAAAAUGUGAAGCGACUAAUGGUGACUGCCAUGAAGCAGAUGCAGCUGUUGGUUAGAGUCCAAACACAAAUUCAGUCACGUAGAAUCCAAAUGUCAAAGAAUCAAGCACAAGAACAAUCAUCAUAAGAAGCGUAUCAUGAAAAAUCAUAUUCGUAGUGGUGGUAUUUCAACCAGGCAUGGUUUAAAAAAGCACGCCUGAGGCGUGAGGCGCUAGAGGCGUUUUAAAGAACGCUUUUUUGGACUGAGGCACUAUUCUACAAGGAGCGCUAUGAACCCGUGCUUCAGGCUUGAGGCGCUAAGAAAGCGAGGUGGCACUUCAGUCAAAAUCAGUACCUUACGUUGAGAACGAGAAACCUUACUUUUUUAAAGUACGAAGUUGGCAGAAAAGAUUUGGAGAGUUUUCUACUUUUUAGACCAAAGAAAGGAGUAAGCUAAGACUAUUGGGUGUGGAGGGACUUGGGUUGGGGGCAUUGCUCGACACAUGGCGAGGGUGGGAUCCACAAGCUAAUACUAAAAAACUAGGGGUGUAGUGGAGCGUCGCUUAGCUGGGCGUGGCCAGCCAUGUGGAAUUUUUAAAAAAAAACUACAAACCUACAUUGAACCAGCCAACCACAGCCUGCCAAGUCAACCCCCCCCCCCCCCCCCCCCCAGGCAGAAUCUCCACGCCAAGCGGCCAACG